rnacentral:rRNA from 1 species
ACAAAGUGUUGUUGGGUAGGGGAGCGUUCUGUAAGCCUGCGAAGGUGUACUGUGAGGUAUGCUGGAGGUAUCAGAAGUGCGAAUGCUGACAUAAGUAACGAUAAUGCGGGUGAAAAACCCGCACGCCGGAAGACCAAGGGUUCCUGUCCAACGUUAAUCGGGGCAGGGUGAGUCGACCCCUAAGGCGAGGCUGAAAAGCGUAGUCGAUGGGAAACGGGUUAAUAUUCCCGUACUGGUGGUAACUGCGAUGGGGGAACGGAGAAGGCUAGGUUGUCCGGGCGACGGUCGUCCCGGUUCAAGCAGGUAGGCAGAGUGAUUAGGCAAAUCCGGUCACUUAAUGCUGAGAUGUGAUGACGAACCACCAAGGUGGUGAAGCAAUUGAUGCCCCGCUUCCAGGAAAAGCCUCUAAGCUUCAGGUUACCAACAAUCGUACCCCAAACCGACACAGGUGGUCAGGUAGAGAAUACUCAGGCGCUUGAGAGAACUCGGGUGAAGGAACUAGGCAAAAUGGUGCCGUAACUUCGGGAGAAGGCACGCUGGCGGUAGGUAAAGUCCCUCGCGGACGGCGCUGAAGCCAGUCGAAGAUACCAGCUGGCUGCAACUGUUUAUUAAAAACACAGCACUGUGCAAACACGAAAGUGGACGUAUACGGUGUGACGCCUGCCCGGUGCUGGAAGGUUAAUUGAUGGGGUCAGCCGUAAGGCGAAGCUCCUGAUCGAAGCCCCAGUAAACGGCGGCCGUAACUAUAACGGUCCUAAGGUAGCGAAAUUCCUUGUCGGGUAAGUUCCGACCUGCACGAAUGGCGUAAUGAUGGCCAGGCUGUCUCCACCCGAGACUCAGUGAAAUUGAACUCGCUGUGAAGAUGCAGUGUACCCGCGGCAAGACGGAAAGACCCCGUGAACCUUUACUAUAGCUUGACACUGAACAUUGAGCCUUGAUGUGUAGGAUAGGUGGGAGGCUUUGAAGUGUGGACGCCAGUCUGCAUGGAGCCAACCUUGAAAUACCACCCUUUAACGUUUGAUGUUCUAACCUAGGCCCAUAAACUGGGUCGGGGACCGUGUCUGGUGGGUAGUUUGACUGGGGCGGUCUCCUCCUAAAGAGUAACGGAGGAGCACGAAGGUUGGCUAAGCAUGGUCGGACAUCAUGCGGUUAGUGCAAAGGCAUAAGCCAGCUUGACUGCGAGAGUGACGGCUCGAGCAGGUACGAAAGUAGGUCUUAGUGAUCCGGUGGUUCUGAAUGGAAGGGCCAUCGCUCAACGGAUAAAAGGUACUCCGGGGAUAACAGGCUGAUACCGCCCAAGAGUUCAUAUCGACGGCGGUGUUUGGCACCUCGAUGUCGGCUCAUCACAUCCUGGGGCUGAAGUAGGUCCCAAGGGUAUGGCUGUUCGCCAUUUAAAGUGGUACGCGAGCUGGGUUUAGAACGUCGUGAGACAGUUCGGUCCCUAUCUGCCGUGGGCGUUGGAAGAUUGAGAGGGGUUGCUCCUAGUACGAGAGGACCGGAGUGAACGCACCACUGGUGUUCGGGUUGUCAUGCCAAUGGCAUUGCCCGGUAGCUAAGUGCGGAAGAGAUAACCGCUGAAAGCAUCUAAGCGGGAAACUUGCC